UAGGGAAUAUUAGAAAUGGACGAAAGUCUGAUCUAGCAACACCGCGUGUGCGAAGAAGGCCUUCGGGUUGUAAAGCACUUUUUGGAAGGAUUAGGAAGGAAUGUACUUCCAGAAUAAGUCUCGGCUAACUACGUGCCAGCAGCCGCGGUAACACGUAGGAGGCAAACGUUAUCCGGAUUUGCUGGGCGUAAAGCGCGUGUAGGUGGUUCUGUAAGUAGGGCGUGAAAGCUCCUGGCUCAACUGGGAGAGGCCGUUCUAAACUGCAGAGCUAGAAGAUGGUAGAGGGAGGUGGAAUUCCGGGUGUAGCGGUGGAAUGAGCAGAUAUCCGGAGGAACACCAGUGGCGAAAGCGGCCUCCUGGACCAUUCCUGACACUCAGACGCGAAAGCGAGGGUAGCAAACG
rnacentral:rRNA from 1 species